rnacentral:misc_RNA from 1 species
UCUCCGUAGGUGAACCUGCGGAGGGAUCAUUACAGAGUUCAUGCCCUACCGGGUAGAUCUCCCACCCUAUGUUAUUAUUACUUUGUUGCUUUGGCGGGCCGUUAGGCUCCGGCCCGACUACCGGCCCCGGCUGGUAAGCGCCCGCCAGAGGACCCAAAACCCUGAAUAUUAGUGUCGUCCGAGUACUAUAUAAUAAUUAAAACUUUCAACAACGGAUCUCUUGGUUCUG